GCGCUUGUAGCUCAAAGGAUAGAGCGCAGCCCUGCGAAGGCUGAGGUUGGUGGUUCGAUUCCACUCAAGCGCGCCA
rnacentral:tRNA from 3 species